CGGAGCGUGGCGCAGCUUGGUAGCGCGUUGCAAUGGGGUUGCAAAGGUCGCUGGUUCGAAUCCAGUCGCUCCGACCA
rnacentral:tRNA from 12 species